CGGGUGAGUAACGCAUAGGUUAUGUGCCUCUUAGUUUGGGAUAGCCAUUGGAAACGAUGAUUAAUACCAGAUACUCCCUACGGGGGAAAGAUUUAUCGCUAAGAGAUCAGCCUAUGUCCUAUCAGCUUGUUGGUAAGGUAAUGGCUUACCAAGGCUAUGACGGGUAUCCGGCCUGAGAGGGUGAACGGACACACUGGAACUGAGACACGGUCCAGACUCCUACGGGAGGCAGCAGUAGGGAAUAUUGCUCAAUGGGGGAAACCCUGAAGCAGCAACGCCGCGUGGAGGAUGAAGGUUUUAGGAUUGUAAACUCCUUUUGUUAGAGAAGAUAAUGACGGUAUCUAACGAAUAAGCACCGGCUAACUCCGUGCCAGCAGCCGCGGUAAUACGGAGGGUGCAAGCGUUACUCGGAAUCACUGGGCGUAAAGAGCGCGUAGGCGGGAUAGUCAGUCAGGUGUGAAAUCCUAUGGCUUAACCAUAGAACUGCAUUUGAAACUACUAUUCUAGAGUGUGGGAGAGGUAGGUGGAAUUCUUGGUGUAGGGGUAAAAUCCGUAGAGAUCAAGAGGAAUACUCAUUGCGAAGGCGACCUGCUGGAACAUUACUGACGCUGAUUGCGCGAAAGCGUGGGGAGCAAACAGGAUUAGAUACCCUGGUAGUCCACGCCCUAAACGAUGGAUGCUAGUUGUUGGAGGGCUUAGUCUCUCCAGUAAUGCAGCUAACGCAUUAAGCAUCCCGCCUGGGGAGUACGGUCGCAAGAUUAAAACUCAAAGGAAUAGACGGGGACCCGCACAAGCGGUGGAGCAUGUGGUUUAAUUCGAAGAUACACGAAGAACCUUACCUAGGCUUGACAUUGAGAGAAUCCGCUAGAAAUAGUGGAGUGUCUAGCUUGCUAGACCUUGAAAACAGGUGCUGCACGGCUGUCGUCAGCUCGUGUCGUGAGAUGUUGGGUUAAGUCCCGCAACGAGCGCAACCCCCUUUCUUAGUUGCUAACAGGUUAUGCUGAGAACUCUAAGGAUACUGCCUCCGUAAGGAGGAGGAAGGUGGGGACGACGUCAAGUCAUCAUGGCCCUUACGCCUAGGGCUACACACGUGCUACAAUGGGGUGCACAAAGAGAAGCAAUACUGCGAAGUGGAGCCAAUCUUCAAAACGCCUCUCAGUUCGGAUUGUAGGCUGCAACUCGCUUGCAUGAAGCUGGAAUCGCUAGUAAUCGCAAAUCAGCCAUGUUGCGGUGAAUACGUUCCCGGGUCUUGUCAUCACGGCCCGUCACACCAUGGGAGUUGUGCUSUGCCUUAAUGUCAUGAUGCAAAC
rnacentral:rRNA from 1 species